rnacentral:rRNA from 1 species
UACAGAGGAUGCAAGCGUUAUCCGGAAUGAUUGGGCGUAAAGAGCUCGUAGGCGGCUUGGUAAGUCGGAUGUGAAACCUCCAGGCUCAACCUGGAGUCGCCAUCCGAUACUGCUAUGGCUAGAGUCCGGUAGGGGCCCACGGAAUUCCUGGUGUGAGCGGUGAAAUGCGCAGAUAUCAGGAGGAACACCGAUGGCGAAGGCAGUGGGCUGGGCCGGCA